AGCGGACCUGAUCAUGUCAAACCA
rnacentral:siRNA from 1 species